GAAGAACAGUUUGCAAAAUCGUUACUUGCUGUGAAAGUGCACAUUCGGGCCCACUAAAAGAUAUCUCUGUCGUCGGUUAGAACAAUCUUUAAAUAAGACAAUCCAAACGAACUCGAUAAAAAUGAACAAACACCUCAACCUCUUUCUCUAACUCGACAAAACCCUUCGAUAUUCUACUC
rnacentral:lncRNA from 1 species